UUUCCGUAGGUGAACCUGCGGAAGGAUCAUUCAUAAUAAAGUGUUUUAUGGCACUUUUUAAAAAUCCAUAUCCACCUUGUGUGCAAUGUUAGAUCUCGUCAAUCUUGGCGAGAUUUUUAUACAUCAACUCAUUCUUUAACUAAUUUGUCUGAAAAAUAUUAUGAAUACUUAAUUCAAAAUACAACUUUCAACAACGGAUCUCUUGGCUCUA
rnacentral:misc_RNA from 1 species